rnacentral:lncRNA from 1 species
AGAGCAUGGAUGUAAACAGGCACAGAGGCAUCAGAGACAGCAUUCCUUGAUAAAUGGAACGGAUAAUGUCACACGGGAGAUGAGAACAAUGUUUACAGCUGCUAGGCCAGAGUUGAGGAUGACUGACAUGCAGCAGGCGCAGGGAGACGAUCAUUAAGAGGAUUCCACGGGGACUGCUGAGCAUUCACACCUGCUCCUGGAGCUGACAGCGUCACCGGAGGCAAACAAAAACAAUCAGUGCUGCCUGCAUUACAGCUUAAAUCACUUGACGGGAGGAGCUGGAUAUGUGUGGCUUGAUUUAUACAGGAUGCAGUACAGUGUCAAGCACUGAUGUGUGCUUUAUUAUUAUCCUUUGAUGCUUACUUCUGGAACUAGACGAUCUCUAAGGUGCCCUUCAGCUCUGAAAUUCUGUAAGUAUUAGUCAGGGUUCUCCAGAAAAACAGAACCAAUAGGAGAGAUAGAUAGAUGAUAGAUAGAUAG